rnacentral:lncRNA from 1 species
CAAUUGGCCGAAAAAUACCGCCGAAGACCAGCGACGCCGUCGCGGGUUCCCUCAAUUUUUGCCUUCGAUGAGGCCCUUCCCGAUUCCCGUUCGAUGUAAUUUUUACAGCACUGUAACCACCAUCCUUUUCUCUACAGGUUGACCAGAGCAAAAUACUAAAUCGCAACUCGCGCCGGAGGAGCCGCCGCACCCGAGAGCUCCACCAUCGAUAAGUCUCAGUUUUUUAUAAUU